rfam:Triticum aestivum genome assembly, contig: Triticum_aestivum_CS42_TGACv1_scaffold_249392_3DL
AGAAGGUGUUGUAUUUGGCAUUCAAGCAUUGGGUUUCCUUUUGGAUCUUGCUUGAUGAAAAGAGGAAAUUUCAUCGUGAUGGGGAUAGAUCAUUGCAAUUGUUGGUCUUCAACGAGGAAUGCCUAGUAAGCGCGAGUCAUCAGCUCGCGUUGACUACAUCCC